AACGAACGCUGGCGGCAGGCUUAACACAUGCAAGUCGAACGCAUCCUUCGGGGUGAGUGGCAGACGGGUGAGUAACGCGUGGGAACGUACCCUUCAGUUCGGGAUAACCCAGGGAAACGUGGGCUAAUACAGGAUACGUGCGAGAGCAGAAAGAUUUAUCGCUGAAGGAUCGGCCCGCGUCUGGUUAGCGAGUUGGUGGGGUAAUGGCCCACCAAGGCGACGAUCAGUAGCUGGUCUGAGAGGAUGAUCAGCCACAUUGGGACUGAGACACGGCACAAACUCCUACGGGAGGCAGCAGUGGGGAAUAUUGGACAAUGGGCGCAAGCCUGAUCCAGCCAUGCCGCGUGAGUGGUGAAGGCCUUAGGGUUGUAAAGCUCUUUCGUCCGGGACGAUAAUGACGGUACCGGAAGAAGAAGCCCCGGCUAACUACGUGCCAGCAGCCGCCGCAG
rnacentral:rRNA from 1 species